CUCUUUGCCCCCGCCCCUCUCUCCGGCGGCGCGACGGUACGAACGGGGGAGGGACACAUUCCUCAGCUCGUCUCUCUCUGAGCGCUGUUACCGGGAGGGGCACUCGUUCCCCACUACCCCGCAGGAAAGCAAUCGGGAAAUACAUUGUCCUGACCUGAGAAAGGCAAGAGCAGCUGCUGUUACACUGAGGCAGUGAGGACCAGCUUCAAAUCCUCCUUCUGCUCCAGGACUUUCUGCCACAAGAGCAGAUAAAGUUUAUUACUAUAUGCCUCCCUCUCUCUUGCUCGAUCCCCACCUCUAAGUCCGCAGGGGUGAGAUCAGGGCUUUGGACAGGGAAGUGGACCAGCUUCUCGCUCAGCAUCGCUACCACCAAGCCAGAGAGAAAGAAAAAAAGUUGCCGGGGUGGUUCCCCUCGGGGCGGCUCCGGAACGUACACUCGGGACUCUCCGAAGUCCCCAGGAAGGCAGACGGCGGGGACGGCACGAACAAUGCCGGGCCUGGCCGGGCCGGGCCGGAGUUAAACAGGAGCGCACAAAGCGGCCCCAGCCGAGUGCCGCCGACUUACCUGAAGAGUACGGAGCGGCGGGCCGGACGGCGAGACUGCACGGCGGCGGGGGGAGGCAGCGUUCCGCCAGAAUUUGGGAAGAAAAGAGAGGGUUUUUAUUUUCCCUGGAGUUUUAAAGGAGUAAACGAGGAACGCGUGGAAUGAGAGUUGGUAUGAAAUGAACGCGACUGAGGGAGGGGACUCCCAUCUAAUGUAGAGGAUGGAAGAGGGUUAGGGAGGGGACUGGCCGGGGGAAGAAGGGGGAGGCGAGAGAAAGGCCGAGGCGGAGUUGUGAACAAAAUCCACAGGGGAUCGGCCCUCUCCGGCUCGGGGACGUGCGUGCUCGGGGAGGAGGCGGGGGGGAUCGUGGGGCAAUGGCCGGAAGAAAAAGCCCGCAGGGGCGGGCUGCCCCACAAACGGGAGCAGAGGAAGGAAACUCUAGGCGGCCGCGAAGGAAAAGCCAGGAGAGCCGAGAGAGCUUGGCUGCAGGGGUGCCGGGAGCGGAAGGGACACGGCCACCUCCAGAAAUCAGUGCGGCGGUGAGAGUCGGGAAAAGAAGUUACAAUCGCUGUUCAGGACGGCUCGGCCUCAACCGGUGGACAAGCCGCGGAAACGCCGCCUCCCGCCUGUUGUUUUCCCAGACGUGGGGGUACGCGGACGAGAAGCCAGCGCUCGCACCGGAAGCCCCGGGGCUACAGAGUGUUCAGUAGCAGCCCAGGCGGUGAUCUAACAGCUGCCAGCCCCCAUGCAGCCCCCUUAGACUGCAGGGUCCAAGCGCUCUUGCGACAGCCACAGUUCGGCCCUUCAGGGCGGUGAUCCCAGCCCAGCACACCCCCGCGACUAGCCCCUUGCAGCCAGGCCUGACUCACAGGCCUCUUCGGAGCUACCUCAGGGACGUGGCUUUCACCCCGCACAGUUAAACGGCUACAGUACAGCCAGAAGUGCUUGUUUAGUGAGAGUUUAACUGUCCUGAGAGCAUCCGAGAAAGGAAACUAUUCACAUAACAGCAAUGGGACGUCCCCUAUGGCUUUUAUCAAAUCACUCUGCUAGGUAGUCGACUUUAAAAUGACUCCCAUUUUUUUCUGUGGGGGCUCUGUGCACCCCUUCUCCCUUUCUGUCUUCUCUUCCCAGUCUUCCCUCAUCUGCAGAGCACAUUCCAUGACCAACCCAUCACUACACUGAAAAUAUACAUUCGCACCUAACUGGCACAGCUGGCAAAGUAGGCAGUCCCAGCUUGGUAGCAGUCAUUUAUCCUGUCAUGCCUGCCAGACUUGCCUUGAGGCAGGUUUGAAUUAGAUCUGACAGCUGGUCUUGUUCACUACAUAGUUUCUCUUUUCCUAUCCCAUCAAUCAACUUCAUUGCUUAAGCUACCCUCCUAACACAUCUAUUUCUGAACCCUCAAUCCUCCUUUCUGGCCUACUGUGCUCACAGCAAUCCAGAGAAGAGCCACUGAGUUGUUUUCCCAAAUAUCUGUUUUGUCUUCUCUCCACAUUUUGCCAACACUGCUCAUCUCUUCUUCAUAACAGCAAAUACACAACACUUCUUCACCAUUAAGUCCCAAAGGUCCUUCAUGGUCUUUUACAAAUUUUCUUUUCUCACUGGUCAUUUCUGAUCAGUGGAUCAGUCUUCUACCAUGCUAGUCUUCUUUCUCCUCUCUUGUUUUAACAUUUGGAAAUUGACCGUUAUUAACACCUGCGAAAGCCGGAUCAUAGUCAAAAACGACCCAAGGGAAUUCACCUAUUCCCUCCUUCAAGCAAUAUUACAAUAGUAGCACUUUUUCUCUGCCUUAUUAUUUUUAUCUCCCUUUUAUUUUUAAUUAUUUGAAUUAACUUAAAAAUAAAAAUUAUUUGCACAGAAGUAUCCCUCCCAACUUCAAAAUCCAUUAUGCAUAUCAGGAGACCUGAAGAAAAUUUUCUUUAGACGACUGAGUUAAAACGCUAACGUACUAAUUGGUUUACCCAGCUCCUUCCUACUGUGUCCCUACAAAUCUGCCUCCGUUGUCUCUUGUGUCUUAAAUUUUAUUUAGAACAUUUUGAGGAAGAAUUCAUCAUGGUGUGCCACAUGAGCCUCACAUCUUAUUCAGUGAGGCUGCUCUCCAGCAUCUCAUUCUCCAGUCACUAUGGAAAAAGACAUACCCCAGCCCAUGGAAAAAACUGAAUGAUGCAAUGGACUGUUAAAGACUACUCUGAGAGCAGUGGAUGCAGGGACACUUUAAGAGCACUGAGAGACACAUUUAGCAAAUCAAGUGAAUCAAGUGAAUUUAGUGAAUCAAGCCAAUGUGCAGAGGUGAAGGCCAUCUAGAUGGCCUUCCAUUGUUGCUGCCUGACACAUCAUGUAGAUGCUCAUGUAUCUGAAUUGGGCCACUGAAGAACAUCAAAAUAGGCUACAAAAGAGGCUACUGAAAUUGAAGUGGUUCAGGAAGAUCUGGACUGGCAACAUAAGGCUGAAUUACUUAUAGCUUGAUAGGUCCAUCAUAUGUCAGGCCACCUAGGAAAAGAUGCAACAUAUAAAUGGGCUCAAACAUGUAAAUGUUUGAGGGGAAGUCUUGACCAUGGACACUAUUGCACAGUUUAUCCACAAAUGCAAAAUGUGCUUCAAUCAAGGAAGCCAAGUGGAUAAAGCCCCUCUGGUAUGUAGAACUGUGGCUGGAAUAUAAAUACGGGGUGAGCUGAUAGAUAUCACACUUCCACAGAUCUGAUACAGUAAGCAACACAUGCUUACAAUGGUGGAAGUAACCACCAGGUGGCUAAAGCACAUCCUACGCCCCAUGCCACUGUCCGAAACACUAUCCCGGGCCUUCAGAAGCAAGACUUACAGCUGAGGGCACCGAAGAAAGAGCUGACUUUGACAGCUGGACUAAUUUAUGAAAAAAAGUCUCAUGACACCUGGGCCAAAGAGCAUGGCAUUGACUGGGUAUAUCACAUCUCCUAUGUCAUGGUUUUAUGAUUUUUUGUUAUUGGUAUUCCACAUAACAUCAUGUAGUGCACUGGGAGUUAAAGAGUUAAUGCUCCAGUUCCGGGUACCUACCCCAGAAGAGAACUACAUCUCCCAGAGGACUGUUUGCUCAGAGGGAAAGAUGAAAACUGUUCGUACGUCACUUGACCUCCCCUUUUGAUUCUGGCUCGUCUCUGCUCCCAGGCACAUUGUCUCAGCUUGCUUAGACUAAGGCCUUUGACUUUUCGGACACUCUCAUUUUAUUUGAUUUAUUAGCUUCAACUGUAUUAUACCGUAUUAUAGUGUGUUAUCUUGCAUUCUGAUAUCUCAUUUAGUAAAUUAGUUUGUUUCUCCUCA